ensembl:lncRNA
AGGACUUUAAUUUAUGUGCGGUAGAUUCUGCUUUUCUAAAUGCCUAAUAAUCAACAACAGCUUGACAAUUACAUUGAAAUUAAUUAAUUUAAAUCAUGGCGAGUCACUCAUUAAAUAAAAAUAUGAACAAUUCCAAUGUCUAUGUUUUUUCAGUAGCAUUAAAUACUCUUUGAACUCGUCAUACAUUUUAUUUUUCAUUUCUUUUUUCUUUUUUUGACGUCUUGUUGAAUUACACAAUAUAUUAAUUUCUGGAAGAUCUUACCAAUAUAUUAUCAGAAUUAUUUGGUAUUAUUAGAAAUAACCUUUUUCUAAGCAGGUCCAAACACAACUUGCAGAUCAAUGAAGCAGAUAAUUUUGUAAUACUCUGAUGUUCUUAAAACUCAUGUGUCUAUAUAUAUGUGUUUGUCUUUUUCCUUCACAGCUGACUCUUGCGAGCAGCACAAAAUUAUUCUUAUCGUGUUUGUGUUGCUCAUGUCGGUGGCUGCUUCUCUGUGGAUAUUUUAUUGUGUCAUGAAAACAGAUUAUGAAGAAUCACCGGUGGAGCUCUCAGGUGUGGAAGUAGUGCGAAGCGUUCAGAAAACCAGGGGAGUCAGCUAACAGGGAGAAGAAAAGAAAUUCUUGACCUCAAAGACCGAGAAAAGCUAUAUAGUCUAUUAGUACCUUUGUUCAGAAUGUCAUGAUUUGUUUACAAAUGUAUGAAAUGAAAUAUCCUGAAGAAAGCGAAUAUAUAUCAAAAGUAAACAAGUGAGUUUUGGGGUCUAAAAAUGUCCAGAAAUGGACACAGCUGGUCAGUUUAAGGAAAACAAGUGUUUGAGAAUCUGACCAGACUUAGAAAUGUGCCGUUGUGUCAUCAUAGCUCAUGCUUCACUUUCCUGCUGCUGCAUCACAAUAUUCACUUGCAAACAGGAAUGAAACGACGACUAUUAGCCAAGAUGUGUUAAUGUCACAGGAAGAUGAGGAUUGUUUGCAUUUUUAUUACACUAACACCCUAGUUUCUGUAUUUAUCAUCCAGUUAGAGCUGGUUUCUGCGCUGCUUUCGUUCAUAUAUGUUUUUAUGAGUUAACACUAAUGUAACACUUAGUGCAGCUGCUGCAUAGUCAGAAACUUUUAGCACCAACUUUGCUGUGCAAAGUUCCUGUUGAAAGUUCUGCCUGUUGCCCUAUUACAUUGGUCUCAGUUUAAAUCUGAAUAUUUGAGUCUGUUUUAUGUUUUUUCAGUUGUUCACAUUGAAUCCCAUAAAUGAGGAAAUGAAGUUAAAACUCUAAGACCUUAGGCUAUGAUAUGAUGAAAAUAAACAGGCAUUUGUUUUUAUUAUGAGCUUAUCAUUAGCUAAAUAGAUUUUUUUUAAUUAAAAAAGCUACUACUAUUCAGAAGAGAAUAUGUGGCUGUAGGUGGAUGGUUUGUUAAAUUAGAGAUACAUAUGUGAAGGAUGUCUCUAGACAUUAAGACCAAUGAAAAUACAGCCUACAUACACUGACACUGUUUGGACACUAUCCAAAACAGGAAAGAUAGCAGGAAGAAUAAUCUCUGGAUUUUUAGGGCAUCUUUGUGUCAUAUUAAUUCUUUAUUGUCCUAUCCCUUUCUUCACUAAAGCUGCCCGACCUGCUUCUGUUUCUUAUAUUGUCUUUUCUGAGAUAAUGUGUCAUCCUUGAAGUAUCAGCAUGGAGCAAUGAAGCAAAGCAUCACAUGGGUGAUUGCGGUGUCCAUUUUACAGCAGGUUUAUUUCUAGAUGACAGCAUCACGCAAGCUAGAUUUUGAGGCCCUGCUUAAUAUUACAGCACAAUACAAAGGUAGCUAGAAAUAUAUCAGCUUAAAGUAGUUUUAUUGUUAAACUCGAAAAGGCGGUGUGUUUGCAACUUCAUAUGACUGCAGCUGAGAAUGAAUGAAACUUAUGUGGAUUCUGAAUCAGCAGCAAGGAAGAAAUUGCAAAAUAUUAAGUGUUAAAUUGUAGUUCUCUUCGUUUUGUUUUAUUUUUUAUUUUUAGUAUUAUUUUUCUAUGCACAUAACAGAAGGGUUAUCCUGUUUGUUUCUUUUAAAAUGCACAAGGUCCGUGCAAUCUAAUCUACUGUUCCUGGCCAGAAGUUAAAAUAUGGAUGAGCAUCAACUCUGUUAAAGUAAAAAUCCAAAAUAUCUCAAUGUGGUAGCAGAUUUUAAAAGUACUAGUCACAUUGUGAAAAUGCAGCUAAUUAAAGUAUUUGAUAUUAUUCUCACUCUGCACUUUUAUUUUGCUACUAUUUGUUUUCUCUUUGUGUUUUGUUUGAUACUGUAUUUUAUUUUUCCCCUGGUCCUACUGAUGCACGCUGAUUAUGGUACUUACAACUAUCUACAGUUUCUUUUGAAAUGCAUUUACUGCUUCAUAUUAGUCGAAGUGUUAAACGUAGUCAGGCCUUUUGUGGUAACGGACUGUAUAAAAAAGAUGGACGUAGCCUUCGAGUCUGAAAAGCAAAGCCAACUCUGAAGUGCUUUAAACUUGCAUUCUCUCUAAUGUCCAGCAGAGGGUGACUCAUAUACUUGCAGCUAGUGUAGGAGUCUAUGAGAAAAUAACAGUAUUUUUCCCUUGAUCUCCUACCUUUGUAAACUAUUUUACAAAUAAUUUAUGGUCUCAGUUGGUAGUUUCCAGGUUUUUUGAAUACAGCACAGUGUUCAUUUUGUAAAUUAUUGGCCGAAUUAUAAUAAAGUAGAUCAUAAAGAAGAGAAUGUUUUAGAGUGUAGCUACCUUGUGAUUGACAAAUCUAGACCAGCUCAGGUUCUGCAGUCAGAUCUAAAAAAACAACAAAAAAACAAGGUGGCAAUGUUUAGAAGCCAAACUUUAGGUUUCAGUACAGUAGUCCACAAACCAAAAAGGGACAU